rnacentral:pre_miRNA from 1 species
GAGGGACAGAUACUGUAAACACCCUACACUCUCAGCUGUGCACAGUGAGAAAGCUGGGAGAAGGCUGUUUACUCUCUCUGCCUU